CAACACGUUAGAAUCCUCCAUUUUGUCCCUCCUAUUGGCAAUGCACAAGUGUGGCUUGGAAUGAAGGGACUGUGUGGUUGCCAGGGUGACCCCAAGGACCAGUUAUUGCACAUAUGGUUCUGCAAAUGGAAGUUCCUGAGUCGGACCAAUGGCAGGAAAGAAGAUUUGCGAACUCGCCCAGGGCAAAGCUGGUGUAAAGUUUUAGAUAAAUGUUCAGAAUUAACCACCUCCUGUUACUCCUAAGUCUCCACAGAUACCAUGUUUUUAAGCCUCCUUUGGGACAAUCACUGGCUGGAAACACCAGAGCAAAAGAGAGGCAAAAUAUCGAUAGAUAUCAGAUGUAGGAUCAAGUUUAACCCCAUUCAAUAUCAGUAAUAUCAUUGUCUUCUUUGCAAUAUACUUCCUCAUGGACUGUACCAGCUACAACUGGGUAUCUUGGGUUUUCUAGGAGGAAGCACCAAUAAAUGAAAGAUUAGGCCCUUGGAGAACAUAAAAAAUGAAUGAUCCAAACAAUAGCCACAACAGCCCUAGAUGUAGUGGAAAAUUGCAGUCCGAUACGCGAGGAC
rnacentral:lncRNA from 1 species